rnacentral:rRNA from 1 species
UACAGAGGGUGCGAGCGUUGUCCGGAAUCAUUGGGCGUAAAGGGCGCGUAGGCGGCUUGAUAAGCGUGCGGUGAAAGCCCGGGGCUCAACCCCGGGUCGGCCGUGCGAACUGUCGAGCUGGAGCACUGUAGAGGCAGGUGGAAUUCCGGGUGUAGCGGUGGAAUGCGUAGAGAUCCGGAAGAACACCGGUGGCGAAGGCGGCCUGCUGGGCAGUGGCUGACGCUGAGGAGCGAAAGCGUGGGGAGCGAACAGG